rnacentral:rRNA from 1 species
CCCUUAGAUGUCCUGGGCCGCACGCGCGUUACACUGAUGCAUUCAACGAGCUUAUAACCUUGGCCGAGAGGCCUGGGCAAUCUUGUUAACGUGCAUCGUGAUAGGGAUAGAUUAUUGAAAUUAUUAAUCUUGAACGAGGAAUUCCUAGUAAAUGUGAGUCAUCAGCUCACGUUGAUUACGUCCCUGCCCUUUGUACACACCGCCCGUCGCUCCUACCGAUUGAGUGAACCGAUGAGUAGUCCGGAUUGCGAUCGACCUCGGUUAAUCGCGAGAAGUUCCGCAAAUCACUUCACUUAGAGGAAGGAGAAGUCGUAACA